ACGCUGGCGGCAGGCCUAACACAUGCAAGUCGAGCGGUAGAGAGAAGCUUGCUUCUCUUGAGAGCGGCGGACGGGUGAGUAAUGCCUAGGAAUCUGCCUGGUAGUGGGGGAUAACGUCCGGAAACGGACGCUAAUACCGCAUACGUCCUACGGGAGAAAGCAGGGGACCUACGGGCCUUGCGCUAUCAGAUGAGCCUAGGUCGGAUUAGCUAGUUGGUGGGGCAAUGGCUCACCAAGGCGACGAUCCGUAACUGGUCUGAGAGGAUGAUCAGUCACACUGGAACUGAGACACGGUCCAGACUCCUACGGGAGGCAGCAGUGGGGAAUAUUGGACAAUGGGCGAAAGCCUGAUCCAGCCAUGCCGCGUGUGUGAAGAAGGUCUUCGGAUUGUAAAGCACUUUAAGUUGGGAGGAAGGGCAGUUACCUAAUACGUGAUUGUUUUGACGUUACCGACAGAAUAAGCACCGGCUAACUCUGUGCCAGCAGCCGCGGUAAUACAGAGGGUGCAAGCGUUAAUCGGAAUUACUGGGCGUAAAGCGCGCGUAGGUGGUUCGUUAAGUUGGAUGUGAAAUCCCCGGGCUCAACCUGGGAACUGCAUUCAAAACUGACGAGCUAGAGUAUGGUAGAGGGUGGUGGAAUUUCCUGUGUAGCGGUGAAAUGCGUAGAUAUAGGAAGGAACACCAGUGGCGAAGGCGACCACCUGGACUGAUACUGACACUGAGGUGCGAAAGCGUGGGGAGCAAAC
rnacentral:rRNA from 1 species